UACAGAGGGUGCAAGCGUUAUUCGGAAUUACUGGGCGUAAAGCGUGCGUAGACGGUUACGUAAGUCGGGUGUGAAAGCCCCGGGCUCAACCUGGGAAUUGCAUUCGAGACUGCAUAGCUAGGGUGCGGAAGAGGGAAGCGGAAUUUCCGGUGUAGCGGUGAAAUGCGUAGAUAUCGGAAGGAACACCAGUGGCGAAAGCGGCUUCCUGGUCCAGCACCGACGUUCAGGCACGAAAGCGUGGGGAGCAAACAGG
rnacentral:rRNA from 1 species